GGAUGUUUACGGUACUGUAAUUCUUGACUGCCACGUUUAUACGCCGAUAAUUCAGGGCGUUACUAGAAAGAAAACAUUUCCGCAAAGAUUUUCUUGGACAUAUGCAUGCAUGGUUGAGUAUUUAGUUUUUCACUCCGUGUGACAAUCCUUGUGUUAGCACUAGAAAAGUGCGAAUGAAUGCGAAUCUAGUGUUAUAUUUGCUAUACGUACAUUUCAGUGCGCAAAUGCAUACGCCAAUUUGUUGCGAAUUUACAAGUGACAAUCUUUGUCUUUGCAUUACGAAUGCAUUCGAACCUUGUGUUAUAUUUGCUACGUACAUUUCAGUGCGCAAAUGUAUAUGCCAAUUUGUUGCGAAUUUACAAAUGACAAUCUUUGUCUUUGCACUAAUGAGAAUGCAUUCGAAUCUAGUGUUAUAUUUGCUACGUACAUUCAGUACGCAAAUGUAUAUGGCAAUUUGUUGCGAAUUUAUUUCUUGUUUGUCAGUCAAGUUUAUGAAUGUUAUAAAACAUAACGACGAUUUAACUUAUAUAUAAUGCAUAAGCCCAUUGUCGCGGGUUUAUUUCCCUAAUUUAAAAUCGCUCUAGAUUUCUAUGAUGACCAAGGGCAAAGCCGCCAAGAUAUUAAUGGGG